ensembl:miRNA MIR497 microRNA 497
CAGCAGCACACUGUGGUUUGUACGGUACUGUGGCCACGUCCAGACCACACUGUGGUGUUAGGGUGAG